CCAUGUUGACCAGGCUGGUCUCGAACUUCUGAUCUCAGACAAUCCUCCCGCCUUGGCCUCCCAAAGUGCUGGAAUUACAGGCGUGAGCCACCGCACCCUGCCGUGUGCUUCUAGAAUCUUAACUCUUCGGGGUUAACCUCUCCUUCCACGCCAAGGAAACGGGAUCUUCCUGCAACCCUCGAGACAACCACCUAACAGUCACCCAACUUCGCGCUGGGGCCCGGAUGUUCCGUCGAUCGAAUGUAAGAUGCUCGACUUCUAAGUCUUGAGUACAACGCAGGAUAAAUCGAUUGGUCAUCCCUGCCGGUCGCUGCCGAGCGCUGAUUGGCUCGGGCUUGGGAAGCGCAGAAAAGGCCGGCGCGGGGGCGUGCCUGGGGAAGGGACUCCCCCGGCGCUGAGCUGCACGAGGGUGCCAGGCGCUGCCGCUGCGUGGGCGGUGGUGCGUGCGAGGCUCUCUCGAAGAAACCCAAACGCGUCGUGGGGCUGCCGUGUGCCCCAGGGAGCCCUGGAGGCGGAACGGGGGCUAAGAACUCCCAAUCUUCACUCCGUGUUGUCGAGUACGCAUUUGAAAUCGUUCCCCAACCUGGCGGUUCCUCCGAGGCCCUUCCCAGGCGCCCAGACUCUGUUGAGUCAAUUUCUGAAACUCCUCGUUAGUCUUUACCACCCCUUCAGCCUCCGUUUUGAAGCAGCGGUUUUCAGCCACUGCGAGUCCAUCGCAAGCGGCGAUGUGCUGCCGAAAGCAGGGCUGGGUUCGCCACCUCCCCGUGCCACCCCUCUUUAGGGAGACCUUAGGGUAGAGUAAUGAGUCGCCCUUGACUGAGUAGUCCCUGCCCUUGCCAGGGCGAUAUUUCUGGAAAUGCAGACUUGACUAAGCCUUGCCUUGGUGAGAAUUCAGUGGGUCCCUAGCACCUAGUACAGCGGCUCCUAGCCUGAGUACUGCCCUCUUUCGGUGGGGAGGGGUUGAGUUUUUUUUGUAGCAUCCAUUGAUCUGAUCUCCAACAUUCCUCCACGUCAAUUCCCACUCCACCCAAAUCCCUUACCCUCUAUAUAAGCUUUCCAGCCAUAGUGUUGGCUUGGGUGGGGGUGCGUGCAGUGCUGACACCAAAAUGGAGGUCCCUUGUUUCUGAGAGCGUCUCUUUUAGAGCAAUGCAAACCUGAAACCCCUCUUGCCAAGAAGCAAUUUCAGCUCCUCCUGGAUUAAAGCCUUUGAGAAACAAAGCUGAGACUUUCUGGUUCCAGGAGGCCAUCUGGAGGUGUACGUGUGGGUCACCGUGGCUUGACUAUGCAGGCCACUAUAGAACCGAGAAGAGCCUGUGUUCCAGUUUGAAGGUCAUCCUGCAGGGAAUGUUCUCUUACUUGGCUGACUAUUGGGAAGCUCUGCUGGGGGCCCACAGGAAUGUGAAUAAACACACUUGGAAAAUCUGCAGAAGCUCUGGUCCCAGCCUCCUGCUGGUAUUUGGGAUUAAGCCUUAUUUUGCAAUGGGUGUAAUCUCAACAGACACUGAGGGGUGCCUGAAGUCCCUGCAAAACCCUUUCUGGUAUCAGCUACCUAUCACAGGAUGCAGAGGACAAGGUCAGGUAGAGGCUGUGUUCCCGGUGAGAGGAAGGCAGGGGGAGGGAAUAGAAAGAGCACUGGAAAUGGGGUGGGAAGACCAAGGUUCGAAUCCCAGCCCUGCCCCCUCCUUGCAAGGCUACUUAGGUGAGAGUUCCUGCCCUUUCUGAGUUCCUUCCUUCCCUCCCUCCCUUCUCCUCCCCUCCUGUCGCCUCCUCUUCCCUUCUUCCCUUCCUUCCUUGCUUCC